UACGGGGGGGGCAAGCGUUGUUCGGAAUUACUGGGCGUAAAGGGCUCGUAGGCGGCCAACUAAGUCGGAUGUGAAAUCCCCAGGCUUAACCUGGGAACUGCAUCCGAUACUGGAUGGCUUGAAUCCGGGAGAGGGAUGCGGAAUUCCAGGUGUAGCGGUGAAAUGCGUAGAUAUCUGGAGGAACACCGGUGGCGAAGGCGGCAUCCUGGACCGGCAUUGACGCCGAGGAGCGAAAGCCAGGGGAGCAAACGGG
rnacentral:rRNA from 1 species